rnacentral:rRNA from 1 species
CCUACGGGAGGCAGCAGUAGGGAAUAUUGCUCAAUGGGGGAAACCCUGAAGCAGCAACGUCGCGUGGAGGAUGAAGGUCCUAUGAUUGUAAACUCCUUUUGUGAGAGAAGAUAAUGACGGUAUCUCACGAAUAACCACCGGCUAACUCCGUGCCAGCAGCCGCGGUACUACGGAGGGUGCACGCGUUACUCGGAAUCACUGGGCGUAAAGCGUGCGCAGGCGGGCUUGUAAGUCAGCUGUGAAAUCCUGUAGCUUAACUACAGAACUGCAGUUGAAACUAGGAGGCUAGAGUGUGGGAGAGGUAGGUGGAAUUCGUGGUGUAGGGGUAAAAUCCGUAGAUAUCAAGAAGAAUUCUGAUUGCGAAGGCAGCCUACUGGAGCAUAACUGACGCUCAUGCACGAAAGCGUGGGGAUCGAACAGGAUUAGAUACCCGAGUAGUC